rnacentral:tRNA from 1 species
GGGUCUGUAGCUCAGUGGGUUAGAGCGCACCCCUGAUAAGGGUUAUGCCUCCAGUUCGAGUCCGCCCAGACCCACCA